rnacentral:lncRNA from 1 species
AUGCUAUCUGGUGUCAGCCCAAUGCAGACUGAGGCGCGCUGUGCCCGGAACCACAGGAAGCCGGGCAUCUCUGCAGCCUGUGUCCCUGCCAGCUCCCCCCACGCGCUGAAAUUCGGCAGGGAAGAAGUUAUGGUGCCCAGCCUCUGUGUGCAAGACAGAGACACCGCGCAUCAUGGCUCUGAAAAUCAGCCAACUGGCCGGGACGUCAGAGCGGCAGAGCAAUCAGAAUGCCCUGGAGCCGGGGAUGGAGGGGCCACAUUGUUUGAGCCCUCGGAUUUUGCUGCAUUGUCACCGCCCGGGAACGUAGGGGUAGCAGGAAGCGCACCUCCAGCCAAAAAUGGACCGGACGCAUUUUUUCCCCCGGUGGCUCCCUCCCUGCCUGUAUGCAAGUCGCAAUACGAUCAGAUUUGGAGAAAACAAAAAACCCACAACCCAAAAGGAUGGGAUUUUACAACUCAAGACAUCUCCCAGGUAAUAAGUCUACAGAUUACAAAUCAUUUUCGUAGAAGAUAAUUUUGUACAAAUUUUACAUGCAUUCAGGAGCAGGAUAUUAAUGCCAAUUUCUGUUUUAACGGGGGGCAAGGUAGGGGAGAGGGAAAAACAUUUUGGAUAUAACUAUUUGGAAGGUGAGUAGAAAUGAAGAGGGCAAACCCUAGCUUUUCAGUAUCUACAAUCAAUGUUUUGUUUUGUUUUGUUUUUCAAGAAAAAAAAUUAAAAAAACCUUUCAAUCUUUAGUAUCUCUUUAAAAGCCCACUUCUUAGCUAUUAGUCAAUCCACACCAAUUAUUUAAAUUCACUUGGUACACACCUUUGUCCACUGGGUAAAUUAUAUUCAUUAUGUCCACUGCUGCAGCAUGCAUAAACCAACAUCUCUACAUGGC